AUUUGGACAAACUACCAGAAGACACACUAAAAUGGAAGAUGAAACUCAUCAAACGGGCUGCGCAAUAUGCUAAUUGCCGUAUACAAUCAGUUACAGCUGAGGUGCUACUGCUAGCCAGCUGCGAUGACAACUUACUUCCGAGCAAAUCUGAAGCCUACAGGCUACAGAACAAAAUACCUAAAUC